rnacentral:tRNA from 1 species
GGCACUUUGGCCGAGUGGUCUAAGGCGCCGUGUUCAGGUACCCAGCAAGAUCCGUCUUGUUGGCACUACUCGCGGUCUAGUAAUAGGCGAGGGUUCGAAUCCCUCAGGUGUCA